ensembl:snoRNA SNORD115 Small nucleolar RNA SNORD115
GGGUCAGUGAUGAGAACCUUUUCCUAUUGUCCUGAAGAGAGGUGAUGACUUUAAAAUCAUGCUCAAUAGGAUUACGCUGAGACCC